rnacentral:rRNA from 1 species
GGGGACGCAGAGGGAGAGCACUAGCGGGAAUGGAAUCCCGUGGCAAGCGAGGUAGGAGUCGCGUUGGCAAAUCCGCGUGACAAUCCGAAGACGUGAUGCAUACCGAACUAGAGUAGGGAAAUGUGUGAGCCAGCUGCCAAGAAAAGCCGCUAUUGUUUGUACUGUACCCGUACCGUAAACCGACACAGGUAGGUGAGGAGAGAAUCCUAAGGCCGACGGGAGAAGCAUUGUUAAGGAACUCGGCAAAAUGACUCCGUAACUUCGGGAGAAGGAGUGCCAGUGAGAGCUGGCCGCAGAGAAUUGGCCCAAGCAACUGUUUAGCAAAAACACAGGUCUAUGCAAAACCGUAAGGUGAAGUAUAUGGGCUGACGCCUGCCCGGUGCUGGAAGGUUAAGGGGAGAGGUUAGCGCAAGCGAAGCUUUGAACUUAAGCCCCAGUAAACGGCGGCCGUAACUAUAACGGUCCUAAGGUAGCGAAAUUCCUUGUCGGGUAAGUUCCGACCCGCACGAAAGGCGUAAUGAUUUGGGCACUGUCUCAACAAUGCACCCGGUGAAAUUGAAAUACCAGUGAAGAUGCUGGUUACCUGCGCCAGGACGGAAAGACCCCAUGGAGCUUUACUCCAGCUUGAUACUGGGAUUCGAUAUUGUAUGUACAGGAUAGGUGGGAGGCGAAGAAGCAUUGACGCCAGUUGAUGCGGAGCCGCUGUUGGGAUACCACCCUUGCAGUAUUGGAUUUCUAACCAGCAGCCGUGACCCGGCUGGGGGACAAUGUCAGGUGGGGAGUUUGACUGGGGCGGUCGCCUCCGAAAGGGUAUCGGAGGCGCUCAAAGGUUCCCUCAGAAUGGUUGGAAACCAUUCGAAGAGUGCAAAGGCAGAAGGGAGCUUGACUGCGACACCGACGGGUGGAGCAGGUACGAAAGUAGGACUUAGUGAUCCGGUGGUAUAAAGUGGGAUUGCCAUCGCUCAACGGAUAAAAGCUACCCUGGGGAUAACAGGCUUAUCACUCCCAAGAGUUCACAUCGACGGAGUGGUUUGGCACCUCGAUGUCGGCUCAUCGCAUCCUGGGGCUGAAGUAGGUCCCAAGGGUUGGGCUGUUCGCCCAUUAAAGCGGUACGCGAGCUGGGUUCAGAACGUCGUGAGACAGUUCGGUCCCUAUCCGGCGUGGGCGUAGGAUAUUUGAGAGGAGCUGGCCUUAGUACGAGAGGACCGGGCUGGACUGACCGCUGGUGUAUCUGUUGUUCCGCCAGGAGCAUGGCAGAGUAGCCAAGUCAGGAAGGGAUAAACGCUGAAGGCAUCUAAGCGUGAAGCCCCCCUCAAGAUGAGAUAUCCCAACGCAAGUUGUAAGACCCCUUGAAGACGACAAGGUAGAUAGGGCAGAGGUGGAAGUGCAGUAAUGCAUGGAGCUGACUGUUACUAAUCGGUCGAGGGCAUAACCAAG